GUUGAACGCUGGCGGCAGGCCUAACACAUGCAAGUCGAGCGAGCGGCGGACGGGUGAGUAAUGUCUGGGAAACUGCCUGCUGGCAGGGGAUAACUACUGGAAACGGUAGCUAAUACCGCAUACCAUCAGCUGUGUCCGGAUGGGAUUAGCUGGUAGGGGGGGUAACGGCGCACCUAGCCGACGAUCCCUAGCUGGUCUGAGAGGAUGACCAGCCAAACUGGAACGGAGACACGGCCCAGAAUCCUACGGGAGGCAGCAGUGGGGAAUAUUGGACAAUGGGCGCAAGCCUGAUGCAGCAAGGCCGCGUGUGUGAAGAAGGCCUUCGGGUUGUAAAGCACUUUCAGCGGGGAGGCGGUACCCGCAGAAGAAGCAACGGCUAACUCCGUGCCAGCCGCCGCGGUAAUUC
rnacentral:rRNA from 1 species